rnacentral:lncRNA from 10 species
AAAUGGAGUCCAGGGUAAUCUGUCAGCCGACUGUACGACGGGGAGCCCUGAAGCACUUUAGGAAGCAGAGAGCCUGAUGCACGCUGGGAAACGGAGUCCACUCACUCAGUCUAUUAGCUGUGUAUGCCUCCCAGAGCUCGGUGCGCUCUGGGAAAUUGAGUCGGCCCGCGUGAACCUGCGGGUCUCGGGCCGUGAGGCAAGCCGGGAAAUGGAGUCGUCGCCACGCCCUCACCGCAUUGCAGGUGUAAAGCGAUUUUUAAAGCACGCCGGGAAAUGGAGUCUCAGGUGGUUUUUAAGCCCCAGGUGGAUACUGCAGUUCCGGAGAUGGGCGAGGAAAUGGAGUAGGUUUACGCGCUCCUCUUUCCAGGUACGCUGGGCCGCAGUCCCUGCCGGGAAGUGUAGUCAGCACCAAGGCCUCAGUGCAGUUGCCACAGCGAGCCCUGGUGUGUUCUGGGAAAUGGAGUUCGACGUAUCCUCCCCAUUGACUGAGGGGGCGGGAUCGCCCAUGAGCUCCAAGCAUGCUGGGGAAUAGUCCAGACCUGACCCUCUGUGAGGCCAGUCUGCGGAGGCUUGCCGGGAAGCGAAGUCCAAUGGCCACCAUCAGGGGCGUGUGAACGAAAGGUUAGAGACUGCGGCAGUUCCCUGGAGAGACUUAAAAGUGUUUCAGCGCCUCCUUCCUCGCCCCCAGGUCCUUCUUUAAGAAAGAGCCGAGGUCGAUCAAGGACUGCUGGAAAAUGGAUCCAAGCACCUUUAAGUUCCAGGUGACCAUAGAUCAGGAAAGAAAAAAUGUCCCCUCUCUAACCGCAACUCUGCAAAGAUUCGGGAAACAAAGUUCCCGGCGGUUUCUCAGAACACUAACUAGUCUUCGGAUACAGUCUAGCUUUUCCUAGCAAUGUGGUUCGCACCAGGAAGCUGAAUGGAGCAUUAAAAAGACGGAAAUGUCAUUUCUGGGCCUGGCGCUGUGGCUCAGGCUGGGCGCCAGUAGCUCACGCCUGUAAUCCUAGCACUUUGGGAGGCCGAGGCUGGCGGAUCAUCCGAGGUCAGGAGUUCGAGACCAGCCUGGCCAACAUAGCGAAACCCCCGUCUCUACUAAAAGUACAAAAAUUAGCCGGGUGUGGUGGCGGGCGCCUGUAAUACCAGCUACUCAGGAGGCUGAAGCAGGAGAAUCGCUUGAACCCGGGAGGCAUAGGUUGCAGUGAGCCGAGAUCGCGCCACUGCACUCCAGUCUGGGCGAAAAGAGUGAGACUCCGUCUCAAAAAAAAAAAAAUCCUGUCUUGAACCACCAUUCAGUUUUCAGUUUUUGGUUUGUUUUGAGACAGGGUCUCGCUCUGCCGCCCAGGCUGGCGGGCAGUGGCGCAAUCACAGGUCACUGCAGCCUCUAACUCCCAGGCUCAAGCAAUCCCCCCACCUAAGCCUCCCAUGUAGGUGGGACUACAGGCGUGCACCAUCACGCCCAGCUAAUUUGGUUUGGUUUGUUUUUUGGGGUGGUGGGGGGUAGCGGGGUGGGCUUCGCCAUGUUGCCCAGGCUGGUCUCCAAUUCCUGGGCUCAAGCGAUUCUACCUCAGCCUCCAACGUGCUGGUAUUUCAGGCUUGAGCCACGGCACCGGGCCUCCCACUCUUGUGUUUUGCAUCCUCCGCUUCCUAAAUUACAAGAUCCCGGAAAGCCAAAAAUAAGGAAGCCAGCUGCCUCAGGUUUUGUGUACUCAGUGAGUCGUCCUAUUUAUCGAUUAAUACCCGAAGGAGAGUAGCCCCCAAAAGGCGCUGGGAAACAGAGUUCCUGUGUCUGUAUGUGUCUCUUCCUCCCCCGGAAAUACUUAGAAGUAGAAUGAAAGCGUUCUCAGCCCCUCCCGCAUCCUGGAAUGGUGGGAAAUGGAGUCUCUGGACUUCACGUUAAUCCGAGCUUGUGCUUAUACUAACUGUCCUGUCCUUUCUGAAACCAGAAGAAAGUCCUGUCCACUCAGUUUGUUCCUGACUGCAAUUCCCCGCGGACACAACUGCGGGGGUCGGUAGCGCCAAAGCCUGUUGAGACUACAUUACCCAGAAGGCAAAGUGCGGAACACUUCCGCUCCCUUCACAAAGCAGGUGGCCGCACCACGCGCGGCUAGGCGCGGGCGUUUCUGGGAGUUGCAGUUUCCCAGCCAAAUGGUACCUGCUGCCCUCUGAUGGCAGCUCUGAGUCAAAAAGUAAAAAUUUCAGUCG